UACGAAGGGGGCUAGCGUUGCUCGGAAUCAUUGGGCGUAAAGCGCACGUAGGCGGAUCUUUAAGUCAGGGGUGAAAUCCCAAGGCUCAACCUUGGAACUGCCUUUGAUACUGGGGAUCUCGAGUCCGGAAGAGGUUGGUGGAACUGCGAGUGUAGAGGUGAAAUUCGUAGAUAUUCGCAAGAACACCAGUGGCGAAGGCGGCCAACUGGUCCGGUACUGACGCUGAGACGCGAAAGCGUGGGGAGCAAACAGG
rnacentral:rRNA from 1 species